GUGUCUGGGGCAGCGACGCCGACGGCGUUGGGGCGCGAAGGGGCUCAUGCUCCUGCGUCCCCCUGGCGCCGCUUCUUAAGGUACAAGCUUAAAGUGUUGCUGCUAGACCUUUCUUCUCUUGUAAUUUACCAAGUGAGGAGUGUUGAAAUAUCCAACUAUAAUUUGUGGAUUUCUCCUUUCAAUACUAUCAUUUUUGGUGCUUCAUGUAUUUUUGAAGCUCUAUUUUUAGUAAACCAAAAAAUUAAGCGCAUGGUUAUGGAGUCUGACUGCUUGAGCUGGCUGCCCCACCUGCCUCAGUUUCUUCAUCAGUAUCUGGGACAUCAUCAUCCUAAUAGUACCUGCCUCCUGGCGGAGACCUGAAAGCAGCUUAACCAUGAGCAGCACUCAACUAAGUGAAGAAAUUCUUCGCAAUAAAUAGGGAUGUUUGAAAGGUUUUACGUUGGACCCGCCUUACCGUGGACAGACACUAGAGGGUGCUCCUCGCUCAGAAAGCCGCGUAUUGCCAGGCCUGGGACCUCUGCCAGGAAGCGCUUGGACUGCCGGUCCUGAAACUUUCUCUUUGGGUCUGGUAAUUUACUGGGGAGAAGUAUCUGCUGCCUUGGUUCUGAAACUAAAGGCUUUUACGGAAGGAGGAGGAGACUGCAAGCGGCUACAUGGAGCAGAAAUGGGGCUCCUCCAAACUUUCACCAAUUGGCGUUCUGCUGGACUGUGACUUGGAGAAUACGAGCAGUGUCUCAUUCACCCAGGAGUCCCAGGGUGUAGCACACAUAGUGUCUGGCAGAUAGUAAGCGCUUUGUAAAUAUUUAUGGAAUGGGACCAACCGAUGGGGGCGUCUAAGACCUAAAUAAUUAUAAUUCCGAAUUGGGGAGUGCUGGCACGAUGAUCACAGAGCAUUAAGGGCUCUCCCAGAAGAAUGAGGGCUGGGGAUGACUGGCCAGAAUGGCUUCCUGAAAUUCAGGAGCCCUGGCACUCUCUGGAGUACACAGAAAAGAUCUUCCACAUCUGGCUUUUGGAUAUUUAAAAACAGCUUCCUGCUCCAUUUCUUUCAUGUCCUUUCUGUGGAAUGAUUUCUAGGCUUUUCACUAAGUUGAUCGCUCCCUGCAGACUUACAGGAAGGCAAAUAAUAGUUUAGCACCUACUGGGUUCAAGCAUCUCCUAUAAUCUCCAUUAUCUGAUUUAAUUGUGUCUUUAUCUCAUUUAAUCCCUACAACAACUCUCUGAGACUAAGGUUAUUAUCCGCAUUCUACAGAUUAGAACUUGGCAAGGUUUGAUAACGGGCCCAAGAUCACACCAUCAGGGAGUGACAGGACAGUAUUUGAACCCAGAUAGUCUAGUAGCAAAAGAUGCUUUUAAAAAUUUUCACUUAAAAGAAUAACAACAACAGCAACUAACAGUAUGGAGGGGGCCAGAUACUUUUCUAUGUUUUACAUUUAUUAACUCAUUUAAGUCAUUUAAUUGCUAUACACUUAGAUGUCAUCCUUUCUAUUAGUACAUUGCUAGUACUGAAAAGUGAAGAGAAUGAUAUAACAAACACCCAUGUACUCAUCACCUGGCAUGAAAAAAAGAUUAAAGUUGAUAUUAUCCAGCUGCAAAAAUCUUGAAAAAGAACAAGGUUGGAGAACUUGGCCUAGUGCAGUGGCUCAUGCCUGUAAUCCCAGCAUUUUGGGAGGCCAAGGCACGUGGAUUGCUUGAGCUCAGGAGUUCGAGACCAGUCUGGGCAAUGUGGUAAAAAAAACAAAAAAUUUCUACAAAAAAAAGUUUCUACAAAAAAAAAUACAAAAAUUAGCCUGGUGUGGUGGUGCUCGCCUGUGGUCCCAGCUACUCAGGAGGCUGAGGUGGGAGGAUCACCUGGGCCCAGGGAGGCUGAGGCUGCAGUGAGCCAAGAUAGUGCCACUGCACUCCAGCCUAGGCAAAAGAGCAAGAUCUUGUCUAAAAAAAAAAAAAAAAAAAAAAA
ensembl:lncRNA